rnacentral:rRNA from 1 species
UACGAAGGGGGCUAGCGUUGCUCGGAAUCACUGGGCGUAAAGGGCGCGUAGGCGGCCUGGCAAGUGGAUGGUGAAAUCCCUCGGCUUAACCGAGGAACUGCCAUCCAGACUGCUUGGCUUGAGACCGGGAGAGGUGAGUGGAAUUCCCAGUGUAGCGGUGAAAUGCGUAGAUAUUGGGAGGAACACCAGUGGCGAAGGCGGCUCACUGGACCGGUACUGACGCUGAGGCGCGAAAGCGUGGGGAGCAAACGGG